AGGAACCUAUUCCAAUCCAAACUGUCGUACCUGAGACUCUGGAGAUUAAAGAGAGUGUUGAUGAGGCUAAAACAGAUGGCAAUGAAGACUGUGAAUUGGUUACAGACCUGGAAAUUACAUCUGAGCACAAGCCUGAUGCUGUCACACCUGGUGGUAAGAGGCAUCUUCCUGCUG